UCAAAAGUAUAAAAAGGCAUGUCAUUGGUUAGAAAUUGUCGACAUUUUUUAAAGUUUAUAUCAUGGACAGAUUCAAGGAUUAAAGAUAUUACGAAACAUCAGUUUAUUAAAAUUUAUGAUGAUAGUUUACAGUUCUAUUGAAUCAAUACAAGUGUGCAGCGUCAACAGAAGUAAAUCAGCAAUUAUUUUAAGGUGGACUUCAAUAUGUAUGAUCUACUUAUGCUGCCACAAUGUAAAGGCAACAAUCACUGGGUUUUGCUGGUUGCAAGUGUUAUGUCCAGGACUGUAACCAUUUACGACUCGUUGGGUGGUAACAACAAGGCCUUGUUCGAUUUGUUCUGCCAGUUCAUGUGUCAACGAGUGCAAAUUGUGAAAGAUGGCUUAGAAAAAUUCAGUUCAGAGUUCAAAGCGCCACCUUGCAACAAACAGCGCCAUGGAAACAGCUGUGGAGUGUUUGCAUUGAUGACUGCCAAAUGUUUGGUCAUGAAAAAGCAUCCCACAAUGUUGCGACAGGCCCAUGAUUCAGUUUAUCGAGACUAGUCGUGAGACGCAGACUUCUGAUUCAUGGUGUGCGGCAAACAUCUCUGUGCGACUCGAUCACUCCACUGUAAAGACCCGCACGGCAUUAAAAUGGAUAUUAUCAAUAUGUGUUGUUGCUCGAAAAUAUGUUUUUGUAGCAGGAAGUGCUUUGGGCUCGAUUAAUCUGAGAACUCAACAAAAUAUUAAUAAAAUCCUUCUGUGCCUUUUAGUUCUGAAAACAGAAGUAGCCAGUUGGUAUUACACAUCUCCUAAACAAGUACAGCACAAUAAAACUUAAGGUUUUAUAAUCCUAAAUUUUUAUAACAUCUUUAUAUCCACACAAAAAUAUUGAUGAUUGUGGUGCUCAGAUUGCAAAACCAUCUGUUUGGCAAAAAUAAUGCAGAUGGUUAGAUUAUGCUAAGUGCAAGAAAAAAAGAAUAACUCUGGAGAUAAUAAUUGAUAUGAUAAUCAUUGCUUGACAGAAUCACAAUUGACCUAGAUAUUUAUUUAUGUAGUGGUGUAUUUUUCAAUGAGUGCCUUAAGAUUCCAAAAACAUAUUGACUUAAAAUAAAUAAUCCC